GAAAGAUUCAUCGGAAGAGGAUGGGCAUGCGGCGCAUUAGCUAGACGGCGGGGUAACGGCCCACCGUGGCGACGAUGCGUAGGGGUUCUGAGAGGAAGGUCCCCCACACUGGUACUGAGACACGGACCAGACUCCUACGGGAGGCAGCAGUGAGGAAUAUUGGUCAAUGGGAGAGAUCCUGAACCAGCCAAGCCGCGUGAGGGAAGACGGCCCUAUGGGUUGUAAACCUCUUUUGUCGGAGAACAAAACCCGGGACGUGUCCCGGACUGCGUGUAUCCGAAGAAAAAGCAUCGGCUAACUCCGUGCCAGCAGCCGCGGUAAUACGGAGGAUGCGAGCGUUAUCCGGAUUUAUUGGGUUUAAAGGGUGCGUAGGCGGUCCGUUAAGUCAGCGGUAAAAUUGCGGGGCUCAACCCCGUCGAGCCGUUGAAACUGGCAGACUUGAGUUGGCGAGAAGUACGCGGAAUGCGCGGUGUAGCGGUGAAAUGCAUAGAUAUCGCGCAGAACUCCGAUUGCGAAGGCAGCGUACCGGCGCCAGACUGACGCUGAGGCACGAAAGCGUGGGGAUCGAACAGGAUUAGAUACCCUGGUAGUCUACGCAGUAAACGAUGAAUGCUGGUUGUCCGGGUCGAAUGAGAUCUGG
rnacentral:rRNA from 1 species